ACAUUAGAAAUGUGAGAAUUGUCAUCCACAUCAUUAAGAGUCUUGUCAUGAUUAGGCAUAGGUGCAGUGAUGACAUUAGGAGUCUCUGGAGGAUCAAAUUCAAUUUCUCCAGCGUCGAUCAUAUCCUGAAUUUUAUUCUUCAACGACCAACAAUCGUUUGUAUCAUGCCCGGGGCUAUCAGAGUGAUAUGCACACCUGGCAUUAGGAUUAUAACGAGGAGAAGUAGUGUUGGGAUUCGUAGGAGGAUCUCUGAGGGUAAUCAA
rnacentral:lncRNA from 1 species